GCUGGUUUAUUUUUAUACUGCCUUCUUGACUACCCUUCUGAUGCUCAGGAACAACCUGGCUUCUGUGAGUUAGCUGCGAAAGCUCAGAAGAAUUUCCUUGACAGGAACAUGUGAGGAUGCAGUCUUUUGUGAGCCAGUCAGUGGAGACAGUUAUGGGAAAAUGCAGGAGAUCAGGAUGCAGUUGCACAAAUGCUGUAAGCUGGACGUCACUGAAAGAAGAGUGUGGUUUCUGUUUGGUUAAUGGCGUGUGAACGAACAAAGACUUCAGCCACUGGAGAUGAGACGGCAAAAUAGAAACAAGGAUGGACAGCAAUUGGGAGAGAAAGUGUGAACCAAUGUGUCAGUGGCAUGGGUGUACAGAGCUUGAGAAGGUGCAAACAGAUGCCUUGGUUGAGCCCAUCUAUCAGAUUCUAUACUCAGUUGAAAAUUAUGUCUAAGUGGGAGUUAAAUGCUGACACCAGAAAGCAGACAAUUGCAUCUUGGUGGUAUUCUACAUUUAUGAGUCUCUCUUGUGCCUGGCCAAAGCACAUCUGGAAAAGGAAAGAACUUGUAAGAGAUUUUGCCUGCAAAGCUCCACAUGGAACGGAGCUGAUACAAAUCAAUCUUGCUUUUUUAGUACAUCUAUCUGCAAAUAGCUACAGUGUAAUGCAAACAGACAUAAUAAUCCAGAUUAUUUUGGAAGAUUGAUUAAUGGGAACAUUACUCAUAUACUCAGUGCAUGACAUUUCCUAUUAGUUGUUCAUAUCAUUUGAGAGUUAAAGGAUAUAAAUACUUAGGAACUUCCCAGCAGUUGGGUUGCCACCUGUCUGCUGAACACAUCAAAGGGGGAAAAGCGUGAGUUAUAUUCCAUUUAAGAAUGCUGUAGCUAUCUGUGGGACUCUGAAUAACAUUUCUGACACUG